AGCUCUACAAAGUUGUACCAAUAGUAUAAAAAAUUGGACUAGCCCUAUUCACUAUUGAAUAAACACGUGUGCUACACGUGUUACUCCACUAAUUUCCACUACCUUCCAAACCCAUUUCCUACUUCUUCCAAUGCUAACAAUGGAAGAGAAACUAAUGUUUCGCCUUCCACGGCUCUGAGCAAAAUAGAAGAAAAAGGUUGGUGCUCAAGAUUUAAUCGAUCAAUAACAACUCCAGCAUUCAUCUUUACUUGGUAGUCACAGGGAAUGUCAAGAAUUUGAGUAGAGAGGGCCAUGACUUCUGAAGUUGCAAUGUCUAGAUAUACACUCUCAAAGUUGGAAUGCUUACUUAUUAGUCGAGGAUAAAUUUCAGUGUUUGUUUAUAUAUUAUGCUUUAUUAUCAUUGUUGUUACUCUUUAAACUAUUAUAGUUCAUACUGAAGUAAGUACACAAUGUAGAGAAUAGGAAGGAAGUUAAUUGCUAGGAGUGCAAUGGGAUGAUGGGAGGAAUGAAAGAGACUGAAGAAAUGUUAGAUUUUGCACCAAAGCAUUACAUACGUAGCAAUGGACUACAUGAAUACAAUAUUGGAACGCCUUCUGAAAUCCAAUGUGAAGUAUAGUUUUGUGCGAGACAUGGGCAAAAAAAUGAACUCUAUUUCAUCUCAAAACUAUUUUCGAUUCUUGUGCAUGGCAGAAGUAAGGCUUAAUUUCACUAUUGAAUAAACACGUGUGCUACACGUGUCCUUCUACAUCUUUACUUUUCAAUUAUUUUCCUAUGGUUCUUUCACCAAUCUA